GAUGAACGCUGGCGGCGUGCUUAACACAUGCAAGUCGAACGGAAAGGCCCAAGCUUGCUUGGGUACUCGAGUGGCGAACGGGUGAGUAACACGUGGGUGAUCUGCCCUGCACUUCGGGAUAAGCCUGGGAAACUGGGUCUAAUACCGGAUAGGACCACAUUUUGGAUGGUGUGGUGGAAAGUUUUUCGGUGUGGGAUGAGCUCGCGGCCUAUCAGCUUGUUGGUGGGGUAAUGGCCUACCAAGGCGUCGACGGGUAGCCGGCCUGAGAGGGUGUACGGCCACAUUGGGACUGAGAUACGGCCCAGACUCCGACGGGAGGAAGCAGUGGGGAAUAUUGCACAAGGGGCGCAAGCCGGAUGCAGCGACGCCGCGUGGGGGAUGACGGCCUUCGGGUUGUAAACUCCUUUCGCUAGGGACGAAGCGUUAUGUGACGGUACCUGGAGAAGAAGCACCGGCUAACUACGUG
rnacentral:rRNA from 1 species